UGAAGAAAAAGUGUGGGAUUUCAAGAGAUUAAGUUAAUAAAGGUGGUGAAUCCUCUGAUAAAGGCAAGGAAAUUGUACACGAGGAUCGGUAGUCAGAGUACUCUAGAAAUUCGACUUCCGAAAUAGCUGGGUAGUAUUAUAUUAGCCUUGUCAUGCUGUUAAAAUUUUAU
rnacentral:sRNA from 1 species